rnacentral:rRNA from 1 species
ACUCCUACGGGAGGCAGCAGUNGGGAAUCUUGCGCAAUGGGCGAAAGCCUGACGCAGCAAUGCCGCGUGANGNAAGAAGGCCUUNGGGUNGUAAANCUCUUUAUNUAUGUGAAGAUAAUGACGGUACCAGAGGAAUAAGCACCGGCUAACUCC